rnacentral:lncRNA from 7 species
AGGAUUUUCAAUGAGAAAAUACAUGAUUUUGGGGUUAAUUUUUUUUUUUUUAAGGGAAAACUUGUGAUUUUUGAUUAAUUAUGUAUUUUUGAAGUGAAAAUGCGUGAUUUUCGGUUAGAUCAGGGAUUCUUGAAGAGAAAAUGCAUCAUUGUCGGGUUACAUGGGGGAUUUCCACAGAGAAAUAGCCUUUUUUCCUGGUUAAAUGGGGGAUUUUCGAAGAGAAAAUGCAUGAUUUUCAGGUUACAUGGAGAUUUUUGAGAGAAAUGCGAUUUCAGGUUAAAUGGGAGAUUCUUGUAGCGCAAGGUUUGAUUUUGGGGUUAAAUGAGGGAUUUUUGAAGAGAAAAUGAGUGAUUUUCGAGUUAAAUGGGUGAUUUUCCAAGAGAAAAUGCGUGAUUUUCAGAUUAAAUGGGGGAUUGUUGAAGGGAAAAUGUGUGAUUUUCGGGUUAAAUGGGGGAUUUUGAAGAGAAAAGGUGAUUUCGGGUUAAAUGAUUUUGUAGAGAAUGUGAUUUUGGUUUUGGGUUUUGAAAAUGCAAUUUUUUGUGGGGAUUCUGAGGAGAAAAUGUGUGAUUUUGGGGUUAAUGGGGUAUUUUUGAGAGAAAAUGCUUGCUUUGGGGGUAAAUGCGUGAUUUUCCAAGAGAAAAUGCAUGAUUUUCGGGAUAAUGGGGUGAUUUUCCAAGAGAAAAUGCGUGAUUUUCAGAUUAAAUGGGGGAUUGUUGAAGGGAAAAUGUGUGAUUUUCGGGUUAAAUGGGGGAUUCUCGAAGAGAAAAUGGGUGAUUUGGGGUUAAAUGGGGGAUUU